UCUCUAAAGAGAACGCCAAGAUAUCCAUUAACUUGGUAAGGAGAUGAAUGGCCGUCACUAAAUUUUACAUCAAUGAAUUUUUUUACAUUGUACCCAUCAAGACCAAGCUGUCGCUCUUCUUUUAGGGGCCGAUUCACUCUACACCGAGAUACGGUCUGUAGAAAACCUAGGACUUUCGGCUAUCAUGAUUUUCACAUGAUUUGUCGUUACUCAUGUCAGCAUUCUCACUUCUGAUAUCUCUACUUCAUUUUACAAUGAAGCGUCGUUGACUUACAGAACGUUCUGCUACCUUUUCAAUCGACACACUUUCAAUUCGCGACAAAAACAAUGUUUUUGUCAAUGAAUGAGUUGACUCUGAUUGAAAAUCGCCGCUUCGGUGAAAUUCUUGAGCUCCGAUACAUUUUAGGUGCUACUAGACAUAGACCAGUGAGCUAUUACGCUUUCUUAAAAGGAUGGCUGCUUCCAAGCCUACCUCCUGGUUGUCUUCGCCUAGUAACUUCCUUUACCACUCAGAAUUUGCUUUGGAACCUUAGCGUUCGAUCUGGGUUGUUUCCCUUUCGACUUGAGACCUUAGCGCCUCAAGUCUGUCUGUAUCGCGAAUAAAAAGGUAUUCGGAGUUUCCCUGGGAUCAGUAAGGCUUUGGGCCACCAUCACCCAAUGAGUGCUCUACCUCCUUUUUACCUUGCUAACCAAAUAAUUUUAUUUGGCUCCGAUACGCUCUACCUCAAUAGAUUUCGCAGAAAACCAGCUAUUUCCAAGCUCGAUUGGCUUUUCACCCCAUAAUCACAAGUCAUCCCCAUCUAUUGCCACAGAUGUGGGUUCGGUCCUCCAAAACGUAUUAUCAUUUUUUCAACCUGCUCAUGAUUAGAUCGCUUGGUUUCGGGUCAAAUUUAUGGAACUUCGCAGGUUUUUUUUUCUCCAAAGAAGAAAAAGUUUACCUUAUUUGCUCUUUUCAAGCUUGCUUUCACUCCGCCUCCACUUAUGAGCUUAGGCUUGCUCCAUAAAUUUACUCGCUGACCCAUUAUGCAAAAGGUACGCCGUUACUCUUAAAAAAAGCUUCGACUGCUUGUAAGCAUUCAGUUUCAGGAUCUUUUUCACUGCUUUGUUUAACGCUCUGUUUCACCUUUCCCUCACGGUACUAGUUCACUAUCGAUCAGAAGAAUAUAUUUAGGCUUAGAGGGUGGUCCCCCUUGAGAAGAUUUAAAAAAAAUAAAUCUUCAAUUCAAACAAAGGUGAUCUUCGUUUUACUCAUUUUUUUUCAUUUUUUUUGUUUUUUUUUGGGUGUCUACAGGGCUAUCACCUUCUUUGGCUUGUUGUUCCAAACAAAUUUAACCCCAAAAAAAAGAAAGAAAUGAAGGCCUACUCCGCAUUCGCUCACCACUACUAACGGAAUCUCGGUUGAUUUUUUUUCCUCUAGUUACUUAGAUGUUUCAGUUCACUAGGUAAUUGAUAAUCAUAGAGUUUUCUUAAGGAAAUCCAGAGAUUUAUGGAUUGACGCACCUAUCUCUGGCGUUUCGUUGCGUUUAACGUCCCUUCUCUUCUUCUGUCUAGGCAUCCACUAAAUGCU
rnacentral:rRNA from 1 species